GAUGAACGCUGGCGGCGUGCCUAAUACAUGCAAGUCGAGCGAACGGAUAAGGAGCUUGCUCCUUUGAAGUUAGCGGCGGACGGGUGAGUAACACGUGGGUAACCUACCUAUAAGACUGGAAUAACUUCGGGAAACCGGAGCUAAUGCCGGAUAACAUUUGGAACUGCAUGGUUCUAAAGUAAAAGAUGGUUUUGCUAUCACUUAUAGAUGGACCCGCGCCGUAUUAGCUAGUUGGUAAGGUAACGGCUUACCAAGGCAACGAUACGUAGCCGGCCUGAGAGGGUGGUCGGGCACACUGGAACUGAGACACGGUCCAGACUCCUACGGGAGGCAGCAGUAGGGAAUCUUCCGCAAUGGACGAAAGUCCGACGGAGCAACGCCGCGUGAGUGAUGAAGGUUUUCGGAUCGUAAAACUCUGUUAUUAGGGAAGAACAAAUGUGUAAGUAACUGUGCACAUCUUGACGGUACCUAAUCAGAAAGCCACGGCUAACUACGUGCCAGCCGCCGCGGUAA
rnacentral:rRNA from 1 species